UACGUAGGGGGCAAGCGUUGUCCGGAUUUAUUGGGCGUAAAGAGCGUGUAGGCGGCCAGACAGGUCAGCUGUGAAAACUCGAGGCUCAACCUCGAGACGUCGGUUGAAACCGUCUGGCUAGAGUCCGGAAGAGGAGAGUGGAAUUCCCGGUGUAGCGGUGAAAUGCGCAGAUAUCGGGAAGAACACCCGUGGCGAAGGCAGCUCUCUGGGACGGUACUGACGCUGAGACGCGAAAGCGUGGGGAGCAAACAGG
rnacentral:rRNA from 1 species